rnacentral:rRNA from 1 species
GCUUGUCUCAAAGAUUAAGCCAUGCAUGUUCAAGUAUAGCAAGUGUACAGUGAAACUGCGAAUGGCUCAUUAAAUCAGUUAUAAUUUAUUUGAUAGUGAAAUUGUACAUGGAUAACCGUGGCAAUUCUAGGGCUAAUACAUGCGUCAAUGGUCGGUCGACCAGUAUUUAUUAGAUACAAAGCCAGCCGUCAGGAUCAGGUGAAUCAUGAUAACCAAACGAAUCGCAAGCGCAAGCGGCGAUAAAUCAUUCAAGUUUCUGCCCUAUCAGCUUUCGAUGGUAGUGUAUUGGACUACCAUGGCAGUCACGGGUAACGGAGAAUUAGGGUUCGGUUCCGGAGAGGGAGCCUGAGAAACGGCUACCACAUCUAAGGAAGGCAGCAGG